AUACAGGCUAGAGUGUUAGCGGCAAUUUUAAAGUCCCCCCCUCCCCUCCCUUCCGCCCCCCCACCCACCAAAUAAUACGGCUGGGAUAUUUGAAGGGAACAUACACCAUAUCACGGUACACUCGGACCCCGUUGUUCUUCACCGGGUUGGGACGGCUUCUGGUCUGAUUGUGACUCGCCAUUAGGAAUGCUGGAGAAAGGGAGCUGAGAGAGGAACUGCUUGCAGCAGGAAGUAGAGGUCAACACAAGAUUUCGGGGGUUUUGCUCUCUAAUGGACCCACACGAGGUUUGAUGGACCAGAAGUCCAUCACGAUCCACAAACAUCUGGAAUAAUGACUGGAGUCUCCGACUAAGGACAUGGAAUACAUUCUGCUGAUCUCAGAGGUAAAUAAGUUAUCCUGAUUAAGAAGAACGGAGCCAAACUUUCAGCAAUACAGAGUCUUACAACAGCCUGAAAAUAGUACUUACUGUGCCUUUGUUCUGAUGGGUAUCAUAUUUUCUUUUCUUUUUUUUAAUGGAAAAACACUUCUUAAAAU